GAUGAACGCCGGCGUCUUUGCCUAAUACAUGCAAGUCGUACGCACUGGCCCAACUGAUUGAUGGUGCUUGCACCUGAUUGACGAUGGAUCACCAGUGAGUGGCGGACGGGUGAGUAACACGUAGGUAACCUGCCCCGGAGCGGGGGAUAACAUUUGGAAACAGAUGCUAAUACCGCAUAACAACAAAAGCCACAUGACUUUUGUUUGAAAGAUGGCUUUGGCUAUCACUCUGGGAUGGACCUGCGGUGCAUUAGCUAGUUGGUAAGGUAAUGGCUUACCAAGGCGAUGAUGCAUAGCCGAGUUGAGAGACUGAUCGGCCACACUGGAACUGAGACACGGUCCAUACUCCUACGGGAGGCAGCAGUAGGGAAUCUUCCACAAUGGGCGCAAACCUGAUGGAGCAACACCGCGUGAGUGAAGAAGGGUUUCGGCUCGUAAAAGCUCUGUUGUUGGAGAAGAACGUGCGUGAGAGUAACUGAUCACGCAAUGACGGUAUCCAACCAGAAAGUCCACGGCUAACUAA
rnacentral:rRNA from 1 species